rnacentral:rRNA from 1 species
UGGGGAAUUUUGGACAAUGGGGGAAACCCUGAUCCAGCCAUCCCGCGUGUGCGAUGAAGGCCUUCGGGUUGUAAAGCACUUUUGGCAGGAAAGAAACGUCAUGGGUUAAUACCCCGUGAAACUGACGGUACCUGCAGAAUAAGCACCGGCUAACUACAUGCCAGCAGCCGCGGUAAUACGUAGGGUGCAAGCGUUAAUCGGAAUUACUGGGCGUAAAGCGUGCGCAGGCGGUUCGGAAAGAAAGAUGUGAAAUCCCAGAGCUCAACUUUGGAACUGCAUUUUUAACUACCGGGCUAGAGUGUGUCAGAGGGAGGUGGAAUUCCGCGUGUAGCAGUGAAAUGCGUAGAUAUGCGGAGGAACACCGAUGGCAAAGGCAGCCUCCUGGGAUAACACUGACGCUCAUGCACGAAAGCGUGGGGAGCAAACAGG